UUUUGGACAAUGGGGGCAACCCUGAUCCAGCCAUGCCGCGUGCGGGAAGAAGGCCUUCGGGUUGUAAACCGCUUUUAGCCGGGAAGAAAAGGUCACGGAUAACACCCGUGGUUUUUGACGGUACCGGCGGAAUCAGCACCGGCUAACUACGUGCCAGCAGCCGCGGUAAUACGUAGGGUGCGAGCGUUAAUCGGAAUUACUGGGCGUAAAGCGUGCGCAGGCGGUUCGUUGUGUCUGUGGUGAAAGCCCCGGGCUUAACCUGGGAAUGGCCAUGGAAACUGGCGAGCUGGAGUGCGGCAGAGGGGGGUGGAAUUCCGCGUGUAGCAGUGAAAUGCGUAGAGAUGCGGAGGAACACCGAUGGCGAAGGCAGCCCCCUGGGUCGACACUGACGCUCAGGCACGAAAGCGUGGGGAGCAAAC
rnacentral:rRNA from 1 species